CUGGCAGAGGUGGUUGGGGCUAUGUGCCUGGAGUGAAGAUUCUGCCCAUUGGUCAAGAGACCUCCCUCUCAGAUGCUGGCUCUGCCCCUGCCUUUGGGGGUCGACCCUUGUACUCGCAGGACCUUAGGUGACUCUAUUCUACUUCUCUGAUCAUCCAGGAAGCCAACCUGCCUGAGGACGAGUCAUACUCUGUCCUCCCACCCCAGGCCAGAGAGUGGUAUCUGUCUUUCCACAAGUUCAGCUACAACUAAGAAGAAUACGCUUCUUGUCAAGAUGGCACAUAUGCACAGGCUACCGGCUGUCUCCUCCAGUAUCCUGGAAAAACUACAAGAAAACAUGGAUUCCAGGAAACAGUAACUACAGCACAGAAUAUAUGAGAAAAUCCCACAGAUAGAGGGCUGUUUUGAACUGUUUCCCAUGACUGCAGAAAACAAAAGACUCCAGACAGCAAACAAAACAAAAAACACCCCAAGACACCAAACAAAACACAGUUAAAACCAGUGGGCCAGGGCUCAGCCCAUGAUGCUCUGCAGGGAAAGGUAGUUGCUGGUACCUGUAAGGGAAUAUCAGCUCAAAGGCCAAGACAGCUAGAUACCUGAGAAGGUCUAUCAUCUGCCCCACAAAAGACAACAAACUGAAUAACACAUAUAUUUUAAGCAACUGUACUUUGCUUAAAAAAAGAUUAGACAGACCAGGAACUUAAAACAAGCAUGAUAAUACUUAAGGAGG
rnacentral:lncRNA from 1 species